AGAGUUUGAUCCUGGCUCAGGACGAACGCUGGCGGCGUGCUUAACACAUGCAAGUCGAACGAGAAUCUACUGAAAGAGUUUUCGGACAAUGGAAGUAGAGGAAAGUGGCGGACGGGUGAGUAACGCGUGAGGAACCUGCCUUGAAGAGGGGGACAACAGUUGGAAACGACUGCUAAUACCGCAUGACGCAUAGAGGUCGCAUGAUCUUUAUGCCAAAGAUUUAUCGCUUCAAGAUGGCCUCGCGUCUGAUUAGCUAGUUGGCGGGGUAACGGCCCACCAAGGCGACGAUCAGUAGCCGGACUGAGAGGUUGAACGGCCACAUUGGGACUGAGAUACGGCCCAGACUCCUACGGGAGGCAGCAGUCGGGAAUAUUGCGCAAUGGAGGAAACUCUGACGCAGUGACGCCGCGUAUAGGAAGAAGGUUUUCGGAUUGUAAACUAUUGUCGUUAGGGAAGAUACAAGACAGUACCUAAGGAGGAAGCUCCGGCUAACUACGUGCCAGCAGCCGCGGUAAUACGUAGGGAGCAAGCGUUAUCCGGAUUUAUUGGGUGUAAAGGGUGCGUAGACGGGAAAGCAAGUUAGUUGUGAAAUCCCUCGGCUUAACUGAGGAACUGCAACUAAAACUACUUUUCUUGAGUGUUGGAGAGGAAAGUGGAAUUCCUAGUGUAGCGGUGAAAUGCGUAGAUAUUAGGAGGAACACCGGUGGCGAAGGCGACUUUCUGGACAAUAACUGACGUUGAGGCACGAAAGUGUGGGGAGCAAACAGGAUUAGAUACCCUGGUAGUCCACACCGUAAACGAUGGAUACUAGGUGUAGGGAACAUUAAGUUUUCUGUGCCGUCGCAAACGCAAUAAGUAUCCCACCUGGGGAGUACGGCCGCAAGGUUGAAACUCAAAGGAAUUGACGGGGGCCCGCACAAGCAGUGGAGUAU
rnacentral:rRNA from 1 species